AAUGAAGUGCCUGACAAAAGGAUUAUUUUGAUAGAAUAAACCAUGUAAAUUUAUUUUACUUUCAUUA
rnacentral:tRNA from 1 species